rnacentral:rRNA from 1 species
AUCAACUUUCGAUGGUAGGAUAGAGGCCUACCAUGGUGGUAACGGGUAACGGGGUGUUAGGGCACGACACCGGAGAGGGAGCCUGAGAAACGGCUACCACAUCCAAGGAUGGCAGCAGGCGCGCAAAUUACCCAAUCCCGACACGGGGAGGUAGUGACAAUAAAUAACAAUACGGGGUUCUUUCGGAUCUCGUAAUUGGAAUGAGUACAAUUUAAAUCUCUUAACGAGGAACAAUUGGAGGGCAAGUCUGGUGCCAGCAGCCGCGGUAAUUCCAGCUCCAAUAGCGUAUAUUAAAGUUGUUGCAGUUAAAAAGCUCGUAGUUGAAUUUCGGGGUUAGUAAGUUGGUCAUGCCAUUGGUAUGCACUGGCUUUACUGAUUCCUCCUUCUUGACGAACCGUGAUGUCAUUAAUUUGGUGUUGCGGGAAAUCAGGACUGUUACUUUGAAAAAAUUAGAGUGUUUAAAGCAGGCUAACGCUUGAAUACAUUAGCAUGGAAUAAUGAAAUAGGACGUUAAUCCUAUUUUGUUGGUUUCUAGGAUCGACGUAAUGAUUAAUAGGGAUAGUUGGGGGCAUUAGUAUUCAAUUGUCAGAGGUGAAAUUCUUGGAUUUAUUGAAGACUAACUACUGCGAAAGCAUUUGCCAAGGAUGUUUUCAUUAAUCAAGAACGAAAGUUAGGGGAUCGAAGACGAUCAGAUACCGUCGUAGUCUUAACCAUAAACUAUGCCGACUAGGGAUCGGAUGAUGUUAAUUCUUUAAUGACUCAUUCGGCGCCUUACGGGAAACCAAAGUGUUUGGGUUC